UGAAAUUUGUUGUUCUGCCUCCC
rnacentral:piRNA from 1 species